AAAACAAAAGUUUUAGACGAAAUGAGGGCUAAAGAAACUGAUGCGAUUGAAAAGGAAUUGGAGAAACCCACAAUCAAACUAAAUACCAAGCUACUUCAAUUGUUGAAUGUUAUUUCUGACUUUGCGCAGACGACCUCUAUCAAUGGCAUUGUUUUUAUCUGUAAUUCAACCGUGUUUCUUUAAGAAUAAUUUGGAUAGUAAUUUUUCUUCUCGGAGUUGCAGGUUUGAGUUAUCAUUCUUAUGGAUUGAUAUCAGAUUAUUUGAGUUACAAGACUAAAGUCACUGUCGAUCACAUCUACACAGAGAAAUUUCCACCGUUUGCGAUAACUUUUUGCAACCACAAUGCAAUUCGAUUGUCCAAGUUGCAUAAAAUAGAAAAACUACAACUCUGGGAAAGCGCCAUAAGAAAGAAA